CCUAUAGAGAAGGAAAUGGCAACUGUUGGGAAGCGUAGUGCAAAAUAGCCGUAAAAGGAGAAAGUCCUUGGGAAAAUGGCAAAGGGCCAGAAGUACUCGGCUUUGCACUGCGGACAGAGAAACAUCUCCUGCCUUUGGUUAUGCUCGGCGCCAAGAGUUAAUAAUAAAUAGGGAUGUUACUUAUGAGAGUGGGUUGUGGGAUAAGCCCAUGAGUCAUUUAGAGCACGCUGUCCUUGAAAUGUUUUUACUGAUUAUGUGUUAACUCCGCAUGUGCUCUGCUGGCCAUAUACUUUAAGCUCUUUGUUCCUGCUUCUAUAAAAAAGCUUGACUGCAGAAAUAAACUUGUCAGUCCUUGCAAGAGACUGUCCAAGUGUCAUUCUUUCAGGUUCAGUGUUACUUCCAAGUCCCGGGGAAAAAAAUCCCCAAGUGGAGCCUGAACAGGGACUUGAGAGGAAGGCUGAACAAAGUGACGAGCCUCUGCAGAAAGAGGCAAGGGUUAUGGUCUUGUCAUUGAAGAUGGAGAGAAAAUCUGGGUUCCCCUUCACCAUGUCUGCUACUGAGAAGGACCCCAAGACCGGACUCCCUCAGGAAGUUGACGUGAAGGGUCUCGUCAAUGACCCUGGAGGAGCCAAUGAGGAAACGCCAUCAUCUGAAUCCUUACCCAACAUGGGCUCAAGUGAAAACAUGACUCGUCAGGCUGAGCAGACACUGAAGAGUACUGGAACUCCUAUGAGUCCAGAUAAGCUGUUUCUGGCUAUGUAAACUGUUCUGAAGAGCAGGAGGAACAUCAUAAUUGCUCCUGGUUUAAUAUAUCAAGCAUUGGAGGCUUUCAUAAAUCUAAGACAAGUUUCUGGACUGAUAAGGACAUAUUUCUGAAUUGGUAUAACGGGGGCUUACCACCCCCACGUACCAGGAUUGCCAUCCCCAUUGUGGGGCCAAAGCAAUGGCAUACUUGGAAAAUUCCAGCAGCUUUAGAGCACUUUGCUAAUGUUUAUAGGACUACGGGAUACAGAAGUCUCUACUCAAGACUCCACGCCUCCCACAAUAGAGUCCAACUAGCAGCCGCUGUGCUUAAUUUAAAAACAAAAGGAGGAUAUGUGGAGAAGCCUAGUGCAAAAUAGCCGUAAAAGGAGAAAGUCCUUGGGAAAAUGGCAAAGGGCCAGAAGUACUCGGCUUUGCACUGCGGACAGAGAAACAUCUCCUGCCUUUGGUUAUGCUUGGCACCAAGAGUUAAUAAUAAAUAGGGAUGUUACUUAUGAGAGCGGGUUGUGGGAUAAGCCCAUGAGUCAUUUAGAACACACUGUCCUUGAAAUGUUUUUACUGAUUAUGUGUUAACUCCGCAUGUGUUCUACUGGCCGUAUACUUUAAGCUCUUUGUUCCUGCUUCUAUAAAAAAGACUUGACUGCAGAAAUAAACUUGUCAGUCCUUGCAA